rnacentral:rRNA from 1 species
AACGCUAGCUACAGGCUUAACACAUGCAAGUCGAGGGGAAACGACAUCGAAAGCUUGCUUUUGAUGGGCGUCGACCGGCGCACGGGUGAGUAACGCGUAUCCAACCUGCCCACCACUUGGGGAUAACCUUGCGAAAGUAAGACUAAUACCCAAUGAUAUCUCUAGAAGACAUCUGAAGGAGAUUAAAGAUUUAUCGGUGAUGGAUGGGGAUGCGUCUGAUUAGCUUGUUGGCGGGGUAACGGCCCACCAAGGCGACGAUCAGUAGGGGUUCUGAGAGGAAGGUCCCCCACAUUGGAACUGAGACACGGUCCAAACUCCUACGGGAGGCAGCAGUGAGGAAUAUUGGUCAAUGGACGAGAGUCUGAACCAGCCAAGUAGCGUGCAGGAUGACGGCCCUAUGGGUUGUAAACUGCUUUUAUAAGGGAAUAAAGUGAGAGUCGUGACUCUUUUUGCAUGUACCUUAUGAAUAAGGACCGGCUAAUUCCGUGCCAGCAGCCGCGGUAAUACGGAAGGUCCGGGCGUUAUCCGGAUUUAUUGGGUUUAAAGGGAGCGUAGGCCGGAGAUUAAGCGUGUUGUGAAAUGUAGACGCUCAACGUCUGCACUGCAGCGCGAACUGGUUUCCUUGAGUACGCACAAAGUGGGCGGAAUUCGUGGUGUAGCGGUGAAAUGCUUAGAUAUCACGAAGAACUCCGAUUG